UACGUAGGGUGCGAGCGUUGCCCGGAUUUAUUGGGCGUAAAGGGCGCGUAGGCGGCCACGCACGUCCGUUGUGAAAUCGCCCGGCUCAACUGGGCGGGGUCAGCGGAUACGGUGUGGCUCGAGCAAGCUAGGGGGCAAUGGAAUUCCCGGUGUAGUGGUGGAAUGCGUAGAUAUCGGGAGGAACACCAGUGGCGAAGGCGGUUGCCUGGAGCUUUGCUGACGCUGAGGCGCGAAAGCGUGGGGAGCAAACGGG
rnacentral:rRNA from 1 species